ensembl:lncRNA
AGUGGGUCCAUUGUGCAUGCAGCCACUGCAGAGCUGAAGGUAGCCCUGCUACCCGAUACGAUCUCCAUGACGAGCGACCCACUGACAGUCGAAUGCCCAAAGGAUGUUAUGGUCAAUGCAACCAUUCAAAACAGCCCUGAGAAUUACACUGUAACGUGGACAUUAAACCAAGUACCAGUUACAUCCCAAACACCAUCAGAUAAUGUCCAGGUUUGUCAGGAAGACUCUCCUUGGCCAAAAACUCCAAAAGGCUUCACUUUAGUAAUCCAACAAUGUGAGAUUGGGAGAGUGGGGUAUCAAGAACGGACAUGCAUUUCGCCUGAAUGGAUGAAUGAACUGGAUAGAUGUGUCAGUGAAGAAUUAAAUAAUGUUCUAAAUACAGCAGCUGCCUUUAGAGGGGGACUUGGGGUCACUCAGAAGGUUGCCCUAGCAAUCUUUUCGAGUUUGAAGAACAUCAGUAAUGACACGUCCUACUCAAAUGCUGAUUUGAGUGCAUCCAUCGGAGUGCUGGAUAUCAUGUUUGAAGCCUCAAAACAAUUCACCCUGGAUGAAUCCGUUUUAGGAGAUUUCCUCGGUGCAGCAAGUAACAUGCUGAAUGCAAAUUGGGAACAAGUCAACACAACCAUUU